rnacentral:rRNA from 1 species
UACGGGGGGAGCAAGCGUUGUUCGGAUUUACUGGGCGUAAAGGGCGCGUAGGCGGCCACCGCAAGUCGGUUGUGAAAUCUCUGGGCUUAACCCAGAAAGGUCAACCGAUACUGCGGGGCUAGAGUGCAGAAGGGGCAACUGGAAUUCCAGGUGUAGCGGUGAAAUGCGUAGAUAUCUGGAGGAAUACCGGUGGCGAAGGCGGCAUCCUGGACCGGCAUUGACGCUGAGGAGCGAAAGCCAGGGGAGCAAACGGG